rnacentral:rRNA from 1 species
GACGAACGCUGGCGGCGUGCUUAACACAUGCAAGUCGAACGGAAAGGCCCUGCGUUUGUGGCGUGCUCGAGUGGCGAACGGGUGAGUAACACGUGAGUAACCUGCCCUUGAAUUUGGGAUAACUUCAGGAAACUGGGGCUAAUACCGGAUAGGAGCUCCUGCUGCAUGGGGGGGGUUGGAAAGAUUCGGCGGUUGGGGAUGGACUCGCGGCUUAUCAGCUUGUUGGUGGGGUAGUGGCUUACCAAGGCUUUGACGGGUAGCCGGCCUGAGAGGGUGACCGGCCACAUUGGGACUGAGAUACGGCCCAGACUCCUACGGGAGGCAGCAGUGGGGAAUAUUGCACAAUGGGCGGAAGCCUGAUGCAGCAACGCCGCGUGCGGGAUGACGGCCUUCGGGUUGUAAACCGCUUUCGCCUGUGACGAAGCGUGAGUGACGGUAAUGGGUAAAGAAGCACCGGCUAACUACGUG